rnacentral:rRNA from 1 species
UACUAUGGCCAUGGCACUCUGAACGUGCCUGAUCUCAUCUGAUCUCAGAAGCUAAGCAGGGUCGGGCCUGGUUAGUACUUGGAUGAGAGACCACCUAGGAAGCCCAGGUGCUAAAGGUG